UGACCUCAAAUCAGGUAGGACUACCCGCUGAACUUAACAU
rnacentral:rRNA from 1 species